rnacentral:sRNA from 1 species
GGCGCCCGGGUGAGGCACGGGUGCGCAAGCGGGAGUUCCGGCUGGAGACCCGUGCUCUGGGCCGGCGCCUUCACCAUGGCCUCGGCAGAGCUGGACUACACCAUCGAGAUCCCGGAUCAGCCCUGCUGGAGCCAGAGUGCUAACGCGGCUUGGCUGUCACCUUCAAUGCAUCACCCGAAGCUGAGAGCCCCCCUUCGUCACUCCUAGCUUGCAGCCUCACAAUUCCAUUUCCCCACCCAAAUACAUCCAUUUUAAUAUGCACAUCACAGGCAGGCAGCACGGUCACAAAGGAGCCCCACCAGCAGCAGUCCCCACGUGGUGGAACGGAUGGAUGACCAGCCACCAGCCUCGGCCUCUUGGCUCCCAGCAGAUGGAUACCCAGCAGAGGCCUGGCACCAGAGUGCCACUGUCUAUGUGUCAGCUGCUUGUACCUCGGAAGCCACCUUCCAGGAGAGUGGUGGCCCGUAUCCGCUUCUGUCCACACCACUCAUACUCCUCAAAGCGGUUGUUGUUCUCAUGCUCGAUGUCCACAGCAUCAUCCUCAGC